rnacentral:lncRNA from 1 species
ACGCAGGGCCCCACCAGCCGUCCAGUACCUUUGACAACUCUUACAAAAAUGUCUUGGUUGAUUAACGUUGUAAUUAUUGAAAUAACAAAAUUUAGUUUCCAUACUCUUGCAUCUUGGACAUGGUAUGAUCUUUUCUAUCUUCUUCUCCACCGUUUGAUCUUCACUUUCUUUUUCACCUUCUUUUAAUUCUUCACCAUGCAAUUUUAUUGUUGUGCCAAAUAGCUUAAUCCCUUGAUUUUCUUCACCUUUUCUCACUUCAGCCAUAUUUUCAUGUAAAGAGAGAAAUAGAGAGAGAGAGAGAGAGAGAGAGAGAGAGAGAGAGGUUGUUAUUGGAUUAUUCUUAAUAGAGAAGGUUUUGGUUGGCGUUAUAAUAGAAGGGGUUUAUAUAGAGAUAAAUAAAGCAAAAAAGUGCUUAUUAGUUAGCACAAUCAUAAACCACGUGCUACACGACAAAAGAAGUAGACGUAGGUGGAGUAUAAAGUGGCUUGUGAAAGAAAAUGUGAAAAGUGAGAAGAGUGGAAAGCGGUUGAGGGUACUGAACAGUAGAAUUUUGGAUUAACAAUAUGAACAACUUUAAAAGGAUAAGAGCAAUUUUCUAGAAUUUUUUGGUUGAGUUUUUACUUUUUGUGUCCAAUGAGAAAUUGAGUUAGUCUACGUCAUCAUCAUGUAGUGCUGAAAUGUCUAACAAGUGGGACCAAUCCAGAUAGAUCGCUUGAGAAGUGUCAAAAGUUAGUCGAAAGGGAAUGCAUGUACUUUUGUUUUGCAUAAUAUAUGUGUGUGAAAGAAAGAAAGAAAGAAUAAACUUGAUUCUUCUGGUGAAAAUGAUACUCUCCUUCUAUUCUAUUUUCAAAAUUUCAUAUACAAGUGCCUGAUUAGCAUUAAUGUCUUUCCUAUCAAGCUAAUUAGAACUCGUUUGGUAGUCAACAACAAUAUCAAUAUUUUUUAGAGUUUGAUGAUUCAAUAUUGUAGGAUAAUCUAAUACAAUCACCUUAUUCGGUCAUGUUUCUCUAGGUAAACAUUUACUGCGGUGGAAGCUAGCAAAGCAAUGGGGAGGCAACAUAAUUGUUAUAGGGUGUUAUUUACUACGUUAGAAUGGAUUUACAACACACUAGAUUCGACAAGAAAUA